CAAACCUUACGGGAGGCAGCAGUGAGGAAUAUUGGUCAAUGGGCGGAAGCCUGAACCAGCCAAGUCGCGUGAGGGAAGAAGACCCUGCGGGUCGCAGACCUCUUUGGACGGGGAGCAAGGCCGCCGACGUGUCGGCGGAAGGAGAGUACCCGUAGAAAAAGCAUCGGCUAACUCCGUGCCAGCAGCCGCGGUAAUACGGAGGAUGCGAGCGUUAUCCGGAUUUAUUGGGUUUAAAGGGUGCGCAGGCGGACCAUCAAGUCAGCGGUAAAAUCGUGGGGCCCAACCCCAUCCCGCCGGUGAAACUG
rnacentral:rRNA from 1 species